ACACUACAAGAUGGACCUGCGUUGUAUUAGCUAGUAGGUGAGGUAACGGCUCACCUAGGCGACGAUACAUAGCCGACCUGAGAGGGUGAUCGGCCACACUGGGACUGAGACACGGCCCAGACUCCUACGGGAGGCAGCAGUAGGGAAUCUUCGGCAAUGGGGGCAACCCUGACCGAGCAACGCCGCGUGAGUGAAGAAGGUUUUCGGAUCGUAAAGCUCUGUUGUAAGUCAAGAACGAGUGUGAGAGUGGAAAGUUCACACUGUGACGGUAGCUUACCAGAAAGGGACGGCUAACUACGUGCCAGCAGCCGCGGUAAUACGUAGGUCCCGAGCGUUGUCCGGAUUUAUUGGGCGUAAAGCGAGCGCAGGCGGUUUGAUAAGUCUGAAGUUAAAGGCUGUGGCUCAACCAUAGUUCGCUUUGGAAACUGUCAAACUUGAGUGCAGAAGGGGAGAGUGGAAUUCCAUGUGUAGCGGUGAAAUGCGUAGAUAUAUGGAGGAACACCGGUGGCGAAAGCGGCUCUCUGGUCUGUAACUGACGCUGAGGCUCGAAAGCGUGGGGAGCGAACAGGAUUAGAUACCCUGGUAGUCCACGCCGUAAACGAUGAGUGCUAGGUGUUGGAUCCUUUCCGGGAUUCAGUGCCGCAGCUAACGCAUUAAGCACU
rnacentral:rRNA from 1 species